GACGAACGCUGGCGGCGUGCUUAACACAUGCAAGUCGAACGAAGUGGCGAACGGGUGAGUAACGCGUAAUCAACCUGCCCUUCAGAGGGGGACAACAGUUGGAAACGACUGCUAAUACCGCAUAAGGAAGGAGGGGAUUGUGUCUGAUGAGCGAGUUGGAGGGGUAACGGCCGACCAAGGCGAUGGUCAGUAGCCGGUUGGAGAGGAUGAACGGCCACAUUGGGACUGGGACACGGCCCAGAAUCCUACGGGAGGCAGCAGUGGGGAAUCUUCCGCAAUGGACGAAAGUCUGACGGAGCAACGCCGCGUGAGUGAUGACGGCCUUCGGGUUGUAAAGCUCUGUUAAUCGGGACGCGGUACCGGAAUAGAAAGCCACGGCUAACUACGUGCCAGCAGCCGCGGUAAUUC
rnacentral:rRNA from 1 species